CUUGCAGCAGCAAGGGGAGGUUCCGUCCCACAUCUCACUGACGGAUAUUAGAGAUUGGCUCAUUGCCAAGGGUAGAAACUACUUCAAGAACACGUUUCAGAGUGAAAUGGAAGAGGGGAAGAACCUUCACUUGGCCGAACUGGCUUGGGAUGUGAAACGACGCCUCAGGCUUAAGGAGCUGAAAGAGAAGUGUGCAGGGAGCUGCGCCUGGAGCGCCGAAUCCGCUGGUCGGUGAUUGGACAGCCUGGUAGCCAGAUGGGAGAUUGGAGACCCCUGGGCAUGGAGACACACACACCUCUAGGAAUGGACUCUCCCUUCAGACACUCCACCUCAUCGAUGGACACUCUUUCCAGUCAGAUCUCGACUGAGAACCUCGAGGUUGCUAGGCUACAUACUGCCAGACCACAUAUUGCCAGACCACAAACUGCCAGACCACCAACUGAAAGACCUAGCAGUGACUCUGAUCACUCUGGAACCUUGUCUUCUGUGAUGACCUGCUCACCACAUUCAGCUAGCCUGUCAGUGGUAGGUCAUUUUCAUUAACAUGUUCCCAGCUUUCACUCUUUGGGGGCUGUAGGCAUAUUACUGCUUCCCUGUCUCCCAUCUACUGGGAAAUCCAUAUCCAAGUACAGUGGCAAGAAAAAGUAUGUGAAC